GGUCUUGCGCUUUCGCCCCGCGACACCUAGAUUGAUCCCGUUCCGCAAGGGACUAUGGGUGUAGACGGGCCAACUAGGCUGGAUCGGACGGGGGUGCGAAUCCCCCCACCUCCACCAUUUCUCCUGGGCUAACAGGAGUGCGGGGGUGAAUUAGGGUCGACGAACGGUUGAAUGGGUACUUGCAUCUCGGUUGGACGCAGCCGUUAUCUGCUCAAAUGUACAGUUGCCAACGACAACCGUGCUCCGGUGGCUCUGGCUGCGUAAGCAGCUCGGGUACCGAAACCUAAAGUCCUUACGCUUAGCCGCUUAAGGCGGGGCUCGCAGGUGCCUGGCAACAGAAACCUGCACU
rfam:Rhodobacter capsulatus SB 1003, complete genome.